GCAAGACCCCAUUUGUGGAAAAAAUAAAAAUAAAAGUAUACGUGAUCUGGGUAUGGUGGCCUGUAGUCCGUAAGAUCUACCAUUUAACUGACAUACAAGAUUGGUUCUAGAAACCACAGGACCCACUGGAAAUGUGACCUCACAGGAAGAUGCGUCUUGUAGGCGGCAGCUGUGAGGUCUGGUUCCCCCACGUGCUGCAGCAACUGCCUUCCAGGCUCUGCCUGCGGGCUCCCUCCAUGCCCAACUCUGCCAUGGACACCAGAGUCCUCUCCUGUGUGGUCAUCUGUCUUCUGGGGACAGGUCUCUCAAAUGCUAGCAUCACACAGAACCCAAGACACCUGGUCAGGAGGAGGGGACAGGAGGCAAGACUGAGAUGCAGCCCAAUGAAAGGACAUAGUCAUGUUUAUUGGUAUCGGCAGCUCCCAGAGGAAGGUCUGAAAUUCAUGGUUUAUCUCCAGGAAGAAAAAAAUCAUAGAUGAGUCAGGAAUGCCAAAGGAACGGUUUUCUGCUGAAUUUCCCAAAGAAGGCCCCAGCAUCUUGAGGAUCCAGCAGGCAGAGCAAGAAGACUCAGCAGCUUAUUUCUGUGCCAGCUCACCACCCACAUCAAUGCAGAGCCACAGCCUUUCAGUCCAUAAACAUCCUCCAGACCUGCCUUGGAAACAGCGGUGGGCUGGGAAGGGAAACGUGUUACCGGUACAGUGAACAGGUCAGCUCUAAGGCAUUCUGCAAGUUGAGGAUGGAAAUAGGGGAGGAUUGUAGGGAUAGCAUGAAACAUCCCAGGCUAUGCUCAGAAACUAAGACUCUGUCAUCCAAAGGACAUAAAGAUUUUUAAGAACUAGACAUAAUUUUUCAGUUUUGACAUUGACUUAAUUUGUCAGUUUCAAAACACUUAGCAGUGUAACUCUUUUUUUAUUCCAUACUGUAUGUCAAGUUCUAUAUUUCAUGCUUUACAUC